rnacentral:rRNA from 1 species
AACGAACGCUGGCGGCGUGCCUAACACAUGCAAGUCAAACGGACGUAGCAAUACGUAAAGUGGCGCACGGGUGAGUAAUACAUGGGAAUCUUCCAAAUAGAGAGGGACAACGCCGGGAAACUGGUGCUAAUACCUCAUAAGCAGGCAACUGGAAAGGUGGGGACCGCAAGGCCUACCGCUAUUUGAUGAGCUCAUGUCCCAUUAGCUAGUUGGCGGGGUAACAGCCCACCAAGGCUUAGAUGGGUAGCUGGUCUGAGAGGACGAUCAGCCACACUGGAACUGAGACACGGUCCAGACUCCUACGGGAGGCAGCAGUGGGGAAUAUUGCGCAAUGGGGGAAACCCUGACGCAGCAACGCCGCGUGAGUGAUGAAGGCCUUCGGGUUGUAAAGCUCUUUCGGCUGGGAAGAAGGGUGUGCAAGCUAAUAAAUUGCACAUUUGAUGGUACCAGAAUAAGAAGCACCGGCUAACUUCGUGCCAGCAGCCGCGGUAA